CAGCCGCCGCGGGAAUACGUAGGGUGCGAGCGUUAAUCGGAAUUACUGGGCGUAAAGCGUGCGCAGGCGGUUAUAUAAGACAGAUGUGAAAUCCCCGGGCUCAACCUGGGACCUGCAUUUGUGACUGUAUAGCUAGAGUACGGUAGAGGGGGAUGGAAUUCCGCGUGUAGCAGUGAAAUGCGUAGAUAUGCGGAGGAACACCGAUGGCGAAGGCAAUCACCUGGACCUGUACUGACGCUCAUGCACGAAAGCGUGGGGAGCAAACAGGAUUAGAUACCCCAGUAGUCCCUGUCUCUUAUAC
rnacentral:rRNA from 1 species